GGGCUUGUGGCUCAGUGGUAGAGUGCUUGCCUGGCAUGUGUGAAGCCCUGAGUUCAAUCCUCAGCACCA
rnacentral:tRNA from 1 species